CCUACGGGUGGCAGCAGUGGGGAAUAUUGGGCAAUGGGCGCAAGCCUGACCCAGCAAAGCCGCGUGAAGGAAGAAGGCUUUCGGGUUGUAAACUUCUUUUAUUGAGGGCGCAACAACUGACGGUCCUCAAUGAAUAAGCCACGGCUAACUACGUGCCAACAGCCGCGUUAAUACGUAGGUGGCAAGCCUUAUCCGGAUUUACUGGGUGUAAAGGGCGUGGAGGGGGGACUGCAAGUCAGAUGUGAAACCCAUGGGCCCAACCCAUGGCCUGGAUUUGAACCUGUAGUUCUUGAGUGGUGGAGAGGUAGGCGGAAUGCGGGGUGUAGCGGUGAAAUGCGUAGAUAUACGGAGGAACACCAGUGGCGAAGGCGGCCUGCUGGACAUUAACUGACGCUGAGGCGCGAAAGCGUGGGGAGCAAACAGGAUUAGAUACCCUAGUAGUC
rnacentral:rRNA from 1 species